GCUUGAUCUGACAGGACAGCAGAGCAUUCUCAGUGGAGGACCUUGAUCUUGCUACCCCUUCAGUCGGGCAGAAGCAGUAGGAGAGACCAAAGCAACACCCCAAGGCAUGCAGCACAUCCCAGAACCAUGGCCCAAAGUGGAGGUGUUAAGAAAAACAGCAAAUGCCACGAGACUCAAGAUAAAGUGGGAAGAGUUAGCAACUCUGCAAUCCUGAGAAGACUGAAGCAUGUGCUUAACAGCACGUGAAUAGUCCCAUUCAACAAGAUGUGAGUAAGCCUUCAUAGGAGCAAGAGAUCCAAGUGAACAAGCUUCCCCACAUCCACUAGACCAGUGUGGACAUUUCUACAGCACAUUGAAAAUCCUGGAGUGCAGCUUGUCUUACUAGUACUUGAAAAUAUAUGAAAGAUUAUCGAGUCAUGAUUACUAUCUUUUUUACAUGUAGAACAGUGGAAGAACAGCAACA